UUGAACUGAAGAGUUUGAUCCUGGCUCAGAUUGAACGCUGGCGGCAUGCCUUACACAUGCAAGUCGAACGGCAGCACGGGCUUCGGCCUGGUGGCGAGUGGCGAACGGGUGAGUAAUACAUCGGAACAUGUCCUGUAGUGGGGGAUAGCCCGGCGAAAGCCGGAUUAAUACCGCAUACGAUCCACGGAUGAAAGCGGGGGACCUUCGGGCCUCGCGCUAUAGGGUUGGCCGAUGGCUGAUUAGCUAGUUGGUGGGGUAAAGGCCUACCAAGGCGACGAUCAGUAGCUGGUCUGAGAGGACGACCAGCCACACUGGGACUGAGACACGGCCCAGACUCCUACGGGAGGCAGCAGUGGGGAAUUUUGGACAAUGGGCGCAAGCCUGAUCCAGCAAUGCCGCGUGUGUGAAGAAGGCCUUCGGGUUGUAAAGCACUUUUGUCCGGAAAGAAAUCCCUGGUCCUAAUACGAUCGGGGGAUGACGGUACCGGAAGAAUAAGCACCGGCUAACUACGUGCCAGCAGCCGCGGUAAUACGUAGGGUGCGAGC
rnacentral:rRNA from 1 species